rnacentral:rRNA from 1 species
GACGAACGCUGGCGGCGUGCUUAACACAUGCAAGUCGAACGGUAAGGCCCUUCGGGGUACACGAGUGGCGAACGGGUGAGUAACACGUGGGUGAUCUGCCCUGCACUUCGGGAUAAGCCUGGGAAACUGGGUCUAAUACCGGAUAGGACCACUGCCUGCAUGGGUGGUGGUGGAAAGCUUUUGCGGUGUGGGGAUGGGCCCGCGGCCUAUCAGCUUGUUGGUGGGGUGAUGGCCUACCAAGGCGACGACGGGGAGCCGGCCUGAGAGGGUGACCGGCCACACUGGGAAUGAGAGACGGCCCAGACUCCUACGGGAGGCAGCAGUGGGGAAUAUUGCACAAUGGGCGCAAGCCUGAUGCAGCGACGCCGCGUGAGGGAUGACGGCCUUCGGGUUGUAAACCUCUUUCAGCACCGACGAAGCGCAAGUGACGGUAGGUGCAGAAGAAGGACCGGCCAACUACGUGCCAGCCGCCGCGGUAACAC